rnacentral:rRNA from 1 species
GAUCUAGCUCUGUACUCCGAAUGCCUCUAGAUUAGAGUUUGAUCAUGGCUCAGACGCUGAACGCUGGCGGUAGGCCUAACACAUGCAAGUCGAACGGCUGCACAGGAGAGCUUGCUCUCUGGGUGGCGAGUGGCGGACGGGUGAGGAAUACAUCGGAAUCUACUCUGUCGUGGGGGAUAAGCGUAGGGAAACUUACGCUAAUACCGCAUUACGACCUACGGGUGAAAUAUGCAGGGGGANUCUUUACGGAACCGUUUGGCNGGCGGGAAUUUGGGAAAUUGGAAGGCCCCGGAAUUGUCAGAGGAAUUUUAGC